rnacentral:rRNA from 1 species
AACGAACGCUGGCGGCAGGCUUAACACAUGCAAGUCGAGCGCCUCGCCAGAGGAGCGGCAGACGGGUGAGUAACGCGUGGGAACGUACCCUUAUCUUCGGAAUAGCUCUGGGAAACUGGAAGUAAUACCGAAUGUGCCCUUAGGGGGAAAGAUUUAUCGGAUAAGGAUCGGCCCGCGUUGGAUUAGCUAGUUGGUGGGGUAAAGGCCUACCAAGGCGACGAUCCAUAGCUGGUCUGAGAGGAUGAUCAGCCACAUUGGGACUGAGACACGGCCCAAACUCCUACGGGAGGCAGCAGUGGGGAAUAUUGGACAAUGGGCGCAAGCCUGAUCCAGCCAUGCCGCGUGAGUGAUGAAGGCCUUAGGGUUGUAAAGCUCUUUCACCGGAGAAGAUAAUGACGGUAUCCGGAGAAGAAGCCCCGGCUAACUUCGU